UACGUAGGGGGCUAGCGUUGUCCGGAUUUAUUGGGCGUAAAGAGCUCGUAGGCGGCCUGUUGCGUCCGCUGUGAAAGCCCGGGGCUUAACCCCGGGUCGGCAGUGGAUACGGGCAGGCUAGAGGUAGGUAGGGGAGAAUGGAAUUCCCGGUGUAGCGGUGAAAUGCGCAGAUAUCGGGAGGAACACCGGUGGCGAAGGCGGUUCUCUGGGCCUUACCCUGACGCUGAGGAGCGAAAGCCAGGGGAGCAAACGGGG
rnacentral:rRNA from 1 species